rnacentral:rRNA from 1 species
AUUGAACGCUGGCGGCAGGCCUAACACAUGCAAGUCGAGCGGAUGAAGGGAGCUUGCUCCUGGAUUCAGCGGCGGUCGGGUGAGUAAUGCCUAGGAAUCUGCCUGGUAGUGGGGGAUAACGUCCGGAAACGGGCGCUAAUACCGCAUACGUCCUGAGGGAGCAAGUGGGGGAUCUUCGGACCUCACGCUAUCAGAUGAGCCUAGGUCGGAUUAGCUAGUUGGUGGGGUAAAGGCCUACCAAGGCGACGAUCCGUAACUGGUCUGAGAGGAUGAUCAGUCACACUGGAACUGAGACACGGUCCAGACGCCUAAGGGAGGCAGCAGUGGGGAAUAUUGGACAAUGGGCGAAAGCCUGAUCCAGCCAUGCCGCGUGUGUGAAGAAGGUCUUCGGAUUGUAAAGCACUUUUAGUUGGGAGGAAGGGCAGUAAGUUAAUACCUUGCUGUUUUGACGUUACCAACAGAAUAAGCACCGGCUAACUUCGUG